CUCUCUAUUUCACUACAGUCUUCACCCCCCAUGUUUUAUUUUAUAUGCAAUUCUGUGACUUGGUCAUUACCUCUUGUACUCUAAAACACUAAAGUUAUCCUAAAGGUACUACUGCUGAAAAAAAUCAGAAUAAUACCUAAAAUAAUUGCAAUGCGCAGUCUCUUCACAGUGUACCUUAUUCACUCUGGACUAUGCAGAGACCAUUCUUUGGAGGUGAUUGCCAUUGUCUAUUCCUAAGAGUCAUUUAGAUCAAUUCUUCCAUUCACUAAGAAUGGACAUGUCAUUUUUACUGUGUGUGUGUGUGUGUGUGUGUGUGUGUGUGUGUGUGUGUGUGUGUCUUGGGGCUUUGCUUGGGCUGGCUUUGACCCUCAUAUCUUAACCUUCUCCGCUAGGAUUAUAGGCAUGAACUACUGGUGCCUGAAUAAUUUUUACUCUUAAUCUUCUCUAGUUAAUUAUAUUCUUAUGGAAUUAGCAAAUAAUGCUCCUAAUUGUCAUUAUUUCAAAUAAAGUGACCACUUCCUUCGUUCUUCCAAUCUCUACAGUUCUGUUCCAGUCAGAGGCAGAUUCUUCUAUAGAUAUCACUCCCAUUUUAGCUCUUCUACUAUAUAUUCUAUAUUAUAUCAAAAACUGCUUAGCUUUCUACAUGCCUUUCAAAGAUGGCAGGCAAAUAAAGUACAUGAAAGUCAGAGAUGGCUUGUGACAAAAACAAUCACUGUCUUAUUUUUUUCUGUAAUUUCUAUCCCAGAGCAUUUGUCAAAGUAAUGAUAUGAUGAAUGAAUUGUAAUGAGAUUCAACUGCAUAUCAAAUAUAGAAAUGUUAACAAAAUCUCUCUUCUUGUGACUGCUUAAUGCAAUUGUUAAGACUCCCUUCUUCUCCUCUGCUCAUCACUAAGCUCUAUGCACAACACAAGCACUCAUUUUGGAGACUUAGUACUGUGAGCACUGCUCACAUGAGGUACAUAAGCCUGCCUAAGAUUAAAAAAAAAAAAAAGACUCCCAUUAUUAUUUUAAGAAAAGAACAGGUUCCAAAAUGGAAAAAAAUAUCUAAAAUAAUAAGACUACUAGUCAAUUCUUUCAGUCACAGAAAAUAAAAUAUCCAUUAAGACCAUGUUGUUUCUACUGUGUAAAUUUCAACCAUGGAGUAAUGUUUUUUUUUAACACUAAUCAAUAGACUUCUUUACCCUAUUUCUAAUUGUUAAAAUCAUUUAUUGAUGGAAGUCCUACCUUGCUUACCUCUAGACUCAUCAGUAAUAUCUUAUCUUUUUUGUCACCCAGUCAAACUUAGUGACUUUGAUUAUUUCAUAUUUGUAAGGGAUAACAAUCUGUUAACAAGUUUUGCAGAAGGAAGUUCAAAAUAUGAAUCAUCAUAUAAAAACAUCACAAUACUCCCAAUUACUGAACUAAGUACAUGAUCUAGCCAGUCACAUUUGUUACUACCUCACAGUUCAGCAAUGGGCACCUUCCUUUGUAUAUUCAAGACUUUCCUAAAAAAAAAAAAUAAAAAAAAAGACGAGGAUUCAAGGAAAAUUAAGUAAAUCACACUUAAUUCCAUUUGUUACCUAUUAUAUGAAAGGCUUUGAGGCAGAUGAAAAUAGCUUUAAAAUAGCUUUAAAAUAAAGAGAGGCAAACUGUUAUGGAGAAAGUAACAAAAGGAACAAACAGAAUGAACCAAGAAAAGGACAAAUAGAUCUUCAGGUUCAAGCUGAACUGGUGAUGUCACCAAAGGUUCGUCCCACUUAGCACCCUUUUCAGAUCUAUUCCAUUAUUUUGGGCAGUCUAGACCAUUCAUUAAAGAUAGACUGAAAAUUAUUCCGUGCUAGGUAUACUGAUGAUGUUCUUACCAAUGUAUGUGAGUUCUCUUGGAGAUGUUUAAUGUCAGUUAUCUUAUUACAUUCUCUAUUCUAAAUGAAUACUGUAAAUCAAUUUUAAAACAAAACAAUCACAUAUAUGGAAAAUGAAACUCACAUCUUUUCAUCUAUCUUCUAAUUUACAGAAAUGAUUGUAGAACUAAUGUUUUAGAAUACAACUUGUUGCCUAAAUGAAGAACCAGGGUCCCCAAAGUUUCAGAGGGGAUGUUUAUGUCUUUUCUGUAAAAUCAGUUGUCAAAUGUUCAGAGUCAGCUGGGUGCCAGAGGCUCAGGCCUGCGGCUCAAGCCUGUUACCCUAGUAACUGAGGAGGCUGAGACCUGAGGAUCAUUGUUCAAAGCUAGACUCAAGCUGGAGAGUCUGUG